rnacentral:rRNA from 1 species
AUUGAACGCUGGCGGUAUGCUUAACACAUGCAAGUCGAACGGUAACAGGCCUUCGGGCGCUGACGAGUGGCGGACGGGUGAGUAACGCGUAGGAAUCUGCCUCAUAGUGGGGGACAACGUGUGGAAACGCACGCUAAUACCGCAUACGCCCUACGGGGGAAAGCGGGGGACCUUCGGGCCUCCCGCGUUGAGAUGAGCCUGCGUUAGAUUAGCUAGUUGGUAGGGUAAAGGCCUACCAAGGCGACGAUCUAUAGCUGGUCUGAGAGGACGAUCAGCCACACUGGGACUGAGACACGGCCCAGACUCCUACGGGAGGCAGCAGUGGGGAAUAUUGGACAAUGGGCGCAAGCCUGAUCCAGCAAUACCGCGUGUGUGAAGAAGGCCCUAGGGUUGUAAAGCACUUUCAAUAGGGAGGAAAACCUGUCGGUCAAUACCCGGCAGCUUGACAUUACCUAUACAAGAAGCACCGGCUAACUACGUGCCAGCCGCCGCAGUAAGAC